AUUGAACGCUGGCGGCAGGCCUAACACAUGCAAGUCGAGCGGAGCGGCGGACGGGUGAGUAAUACCUAGGAAUCUGCCUGAUAGUGGGGGAUAACGUUCGGAAACGGACGCUAAUACCGCAUAAUAUCAGAUGAGCCUAGGUCGGAUUAGCUAGUGGGUGGGGGAAUGGCUCAACAAGGCUACGAUGCGUAACUGGUCUGAGAGGAUGAUCAGUCACAAUGGAGCUGGGACACGGUCCAGACUCCUACUGGGGGCAGCAGUGGGGAAUAUUGGACAAUGGGCGAAAGCCUGAUCCAGCCAUGCCGCGUGGGUGAAGAAGGUCUUCGGAGUGUAAAGCACUUUAAGUUGGGAGGCGUUACCGACAGAAUAAGCACCGGCUAACUCUGUGCCAGCAGCCCCGGUAAUAC
rnacentral:rRNA from 1 species